AUUGAACGCUGGCGGCAUGCCUUACACAUGCAAGUCGAACGGCAGCACGGGUGCUUGCACCUGGUGGCGAGUGGCGAACGGGUGAGUAAUACAUCGGAACAUGUCCUGUAGUGGGGGAUAGCCCGGCGAAAGCCGGAUUAAUACCGCAUACGAUCUACGGAUGAAAGCGGGGGACCUUCGGGCCUCGCGCUAUAGGGUUGGCCGAUGGCUGAUUAGCUAGUUGGUGGGGUAAAGGCCUACCAAGGCGACGAUCAGUAGCUGGUCUGAGAGGACGACCAGCCACACUGGGACUGAGACACCGCCCAGACUCCUACGGGAGGCAGCAGUGGGGAAUUUUGGACAAUGGGCGAAAGCCUGAUCCAGCAAUGCCGCGUGUGUGAAGAAGGCCUUCGGGUUGUAAAGCACUUUUGUCCGGAAAGAAAUCCUUGGCCCUAAUACGGUCGGGGGAUGACGGUACCGGAAGAAUAAGCACCGGCUAACUACGUG
rnacentral:rRNA from 1 species